ensembl:lncRNA LINC00964 long intergenic non-protein coding RNA 964
GCCAAUUUCCACCCUCUCUCUGGAAACUGUCAUUAGGGUUAGGGAAACUGUCAUGAGAUCUGCAUAUUUUAGAUAGAGGCUGCUUGCCUUAUUUGGGCACCUAAUGAAAAAGACAUGGAGGCCAGGUGCGGUGGCUCAUGUCUGUAAUCCCAGCACUUUGGGAGGCCAAGGCGAGUGGAUCACCUGAGGUCAGGAGUUCGAGACCAGCCUGACCAACAUGGCAAAACCCCGUCUGUACUAAAAGUGCAAACACAAAGGGAACUGCGUGGCUUGUUUCUACCUGAACAUUGUCAAGUGAUUUCAUCCUUUGAAACACAGUUGUGAAGUGUGUCCAGCAGUCUGAGAACAAGAAGAAGAAGAAAAUCUAAUCCUUCAGGGUGUCUGUGUGCCAGCCCUGCUCUCAGCACUUCCCAUGUGGAACUCCUUUACUUCUCCUAACAACUCCAUGACAUGGGUUAGACUGUGAUUGUUCCCAUAUUGUUGGUAGGGAAACUGAGGCAUGCAGGUGUUACAGAGCUCUCUCAAGUGGCAAGCUUUCUGGGUGGUUACAGAGUGGCAGAGCUGGGGUAUCCCAUGAUGUCACCACACUGCUAUAUGGAAAAGAACAUUAAUCGAGCACCUACGUGCUUGAUUCUCUUAAUUCUGUGACUGAACUCUCAAAACACCCUGGGUUGGUUUCCUUUUUACAACUGCCCAAGUCAUGAGUUCAUAGGGCCUGGAUGGCUGUACCGGAUUGCUCUCCAGCUGGUCUCUCUGCAUCCAGAAAUUUCUACAACCUACUGGGGUAAAAUCUUUCUCAACCCUGCUUUUCAUCAUCACAUCUUAAAUAUCUCGAGUUGGUUCCCUAUUGCCAAAAAAAAUCCAUUGUCCAUGUAGGGUUCUUCUGCCGAAACGAGGAAAGAGUGAGUUAAAUGUUGGUAGGUGAUAUAGAGAUAGUAAUUAGGCAAUAUAAUUCGAUGUUGUUGAAAGAGCUGAGCUAUGAAAUGCAUUGUGAUAAAGGGGCUGCCUGUGUAAGUAAAUGGGUAUAAUGAGGUGUAAAACUCCCUUUCUCUCUCUCUUUCUGCUUCAUAAGCCUUUCUGCUUCUCAAGUCCAGACCUGCUGUUUUUGGGGUUUCCUUCCAAUUUUUUUGCUGCUUCCCUGGGGCCUUGGCUCUUGGGCCUGCUGCCUCUUCCCACUCUACACCUUUGGAUUCCUUAUCUUUGGCUCCACCUUAUUGCUCCAUUCUCCAAAGACAAAUCCACAAGGCAUAGGAUUUUACAGAAUAUGGGGUUACAGAAACAGCAUAGGGAAGUGUAAAAGCCUAGAAGCUUCUUACAGACGCAGCCCCUUGUCUGUAGCUCCUGACUCCCACUUAAAUGUCUGUUGGAAGCACCCUGGGGUAGCAGAACCCAGCUCAGAAGAUGGGGCUUAUCCACCAUGCCUUUUCCUAACCUGACACCCACCCAGAUAAUCUUUUCAAUAUGCAAACUAGAGCGUAUCACCCCCUGCUCAGAGCCUUUCUGUGACCUCCCAUUUUGCUUCCCAGGACUCCUUGCUCCUUAGCCAGGUCUCCAGGUCCUCCGUGAUCAGGUCUCUGCUCUUCUGCAGCCUCAUCUCUGCCAUUCUUCACCUUUUGUGCUCCAACCCAAUCUGGUUUUCUUCUCAUGCUUUGAACACCCCAAGUCUGUCUGCUUCAGGAGCUUCGUACUGGCUAAUCAUUCACCACAGCAUACUCCCAUCUAUACGGCUGGCUCUUAUAUUAUGGGUCUCAGCUAAAAUGUCAUCCCUUCAAAGAGACCUUCUUGGACCACCCCCGCCAUUCUCUAUCCUAUUUCUCUCUUUUAUUUUCUUUGAAGCACUUACCCACUUUCAGAAACUAUCUGGCUUGCUCAUGUGUUUGUCUCUAGAUUGUCUACUUCCCCUCCUAGACUGUACUCUCCACAAGAGAGCAAAGCUGUGUCUGUUGCAUUCACUGUUGUCUUCCCAGAAGCAAGCAGCAUGCUGGAGACCCUCAAAUACAUGUGAAAUGAAGGGACACCUUGUGUUAUUUCACCUGUUUCCACCUGGUUCCCAAGUGGCAAGCUUGCAUUGAGGUUACAAAGUGGCAAAGCUGGGAUAUCACAUGAUGUCACCAUGAUGCUAUAUGAAAUGUAACAUUAAUUGAGUACCUAUGUGACCAGUUCUUUAAUUCUGUAAGUGAACUCUCAAAAAACCCUAGGUAAGUAUUAUCAACUCGAACUUUAACGGAUGAGGAAACUGGAAUUUUUUAAAAAAUGACUUAACCAAACAUCACAGAGCUGUAAACCAGGAUUUGAAUGGGUGAGCUGCACUCAGCCUUCAUCUCAAGUCAGUUUGCCUCUUUCUCCAAGAAGCCACAGUUGAUCCUGACCACAUCACAUAUGAGUUGCCUGGAUUGCAGUCAUUCAUUCACUAAGCAUCUUUUAGGAGGUCACAUGCCAGGCACCGUGUUAGGUAAUGAUUUCUCCAAGUCACAGGAGCCGUGGUUCUGACUUUAGAAAGUUUCUCAUCUGAUGGGAGGGCAGGCAAGUAAAUCAGUAAGGGUGGUCCCUGUCGGGACACUGGUUGAGAAAUACCCAGGAACACUCUGAUUGAGAAAUACCCAAAGUGCAAAGUGACAGGGACUAGAGGCAUCUCCACUGGACCAGAGAGCUCUGGAUUCGUCUUGAGCUAAGUCUCUGGAGGUAGGUGUCAGCUACAAGGAGAAAAGCUGUAUAUUUUGAGAUAUGGGAUGCAGGGCCUUUUAGUUCCAUAAAUAAGAGAACUAUGGUGUGAAUACCACAUGCCCUGGGCUGAACUAAGUGGGCUCUAGGGGAAGGUAUACUGGGCAGGGAGUUUGGAGAACUGGUUUCUGUCUAAUCCUUCUCUAACUCUGUGACCUUGAAUGCAUCAUUUCCCCUCUGAGUCUCAGAUUCUCUUUCUGGCUGGCAUUUAAUGAAACCUAAAUAUUCUAGACCUUCUACUUGUUCCAUAAGUGCUCAGUCCUACACUCACUCUCCUCUGGCACCAAUAUACUGAUUACUCAUUUUAUGCCCAGCAGAGCACUGCGUGUUUUGAAAUAUACAAAUAGUGGGAAACGAAAUCUUUGUUCUGGAUGCAGUUAUAAUUUGGAAAGCGAGGAAAUAAAUUAUAACAAGGGGAAAAAACAGACACAGAGGGAUUGAAAUGCAUAACAAUAGAGAUGAAACACGAAGAGUGAUAAAUGAAGAUUGAGUGUGCACACCUUCUGGAGGAGCCCUGAUUGAGUAUUUUAAAAUACUACUAAAGUCAUGCCGUGUGACUUCUGAAGCUAGCUCCUAAGAAGUCCUUGCAGCUUCUGCCUGCGACUCUUAGAACACUUGCUUUGAAGGAUGCCAGAUGCUGUCUUAAAAGUCUGAGCACUCUGAAACCAUCAUGCUGUGAGGAAGCCCAAGCUAACCACAUGGGCAAAAAAGAUGCCCUCUGACUGCCACCAUUUGAGACACUCUAAUUAAGAACUGCCUCAUUGAGCCCAUGAGGCCCUGUGAAUGAUAAUAAUAAAUUGUUUUUAACCACUAUG